rnacentral:rRNA from 1 species
UGACAUGGGGCAAUCCUGUCCGCCUUCCGCGUGUGCGAUGAAGGCCUUCGGGUUGUAAAGCAGUUUUGGCAGGAAAGAAAUCGCACAUAUUAAUACUUUGUGUGGGUGACGGUACCUGCAGAAUAAGCACCGGCUAACUCCGUGCCCGCAGCCGCGGUAAUACUUAAGGUGCAAGCGUUAAUCGGAGUUACUGGGCGUAAAGCGUGCGCUUGCGGUUCGGAAAGAGAGGUGUGAAAUCCCAGGGCUUAGCCUUGGAACUGCACUUUUAACUCCCGAGCUAAAUUAUGUCGGAGGGGGGUGGAAUUCCGCGUGUAACAUUGAAAUGCGUAAAUAUGCGGAGGAACUCCGAUGGCGAAUGCCUCCCCUUGGGAUGAUACUGACGCUCAUGCACGAAA